GUCUUAUAGUAUGCAUGCAGAAAUAAGCAAAAGCCCCCUAUUUCUAGCUGCCUAACCUUCAUAACUAGUGCGCACGCGCAUACAACCUUUCUGAAAAACCUGCAAAGGAAUACCCCCGAAUGUGGAGUCUCGGUCAUGCCCUUAGCUUAACCUAACCUAGUGUGCCAUCGCACCUAGUGAGCUUCCACAAACAGGGGCAAGGUUGGCAUGCCUUAUGUUAAUUGUCUUCCACGAAGUCGUUGAGCCACCAUAACAGAGGGGGGACCUAAUCUCUGGUAGCGAACUGUUUUCAUAUAACUCGGGGCAGAAAACUAACGUUCGAAACCAGCGAUAAACAUGCACUACGGGCGAUGAAAGCCUAGACUAUUUAUUAUUACAAUAAUUGUGUCAUUACAGUCCUAAACUGAUCUUUGUGUCAAAAAAUGGCCACGAUAUCCACCAAUCUUCUUACGGGUACCAUUUGCACCCUCUAAGCUAUGGAUACCAUUUGUACCCAGUUUAGUUAUCCUACCGAAGGAAAACUAUGCCAGCUUUUCAACAAAAUUUUGGCUAUACCCAUAUAUUACGUACACAAAUAUACAGAUCAUGUAAUGGAUUAAGGUUAAGGUUAUAGGGUUAUAUUUAACCCCAAACGAAAGCCUAACACAUUUCAUGAGAUUUCUAUACAUUUAUGAACAUAACAUAUCGAUAUAAACAAAAUUUUUAAGUCUGGCAAGGUUUUACUUGUCUGCCUAUAUUCUGGAUUCUAUCCGCGCGCUGCAGACACAGAGACACCUAAGCAUGCAGUAAGUACAUUUACACAAAGAGAAGAACAUUAGCACGAACAGACCGCAAAUAGCUAUAGUGGGUCUCACUACGAGUUACUAGAGUGAAAAAAUAAUGUUCACUGUUUUUUACUCUAUGUAGUAGUCUUGUAUUUGAAGCAAUUGAAUUGCUCCAGGAAGUGCCAACAUUUCUGACGUUGACAAUCGUCUGGAUUGUAACACUUACUGAAACCCACCAAUAACCGAACCGAGUGCAUGCAACGAACCACGUGACCGAAAGCUCAAACGUCAACCUCUUAAGAUUGACUUUCGAUUGCAGAUGAUUAUCGAAAUUCUGAUUAACUGAGGUCAAAAUAGUACCUCAUUUUUUUAUUAGCAUGCAAACAUCUGAAUAAAAGUCAACCUUGUGUGCAAAUGUACAACUAACGACAGACCGCCAGGAAUUUUAAACCGGUUUAUCCCAAAGACUUCACC
rnacentral:lncRNA from 1 species